rnacentral:misc_RNA from 1 species
GAGAGCGAGCAGUGAUCAAGUUAUUGUAGUCCAGGUUGGGAUACUGAUGCUGACUCACAAUUACAACAUUUCGGUUUGAAGGCGGAUUCUACACAUGCAAAGAAUUGCCCGUUAAAAGAUGGCCUAUAAGACUACUUUAACAUGUCACCAAACAACUAUAUCUAUCAUGAAGAGGCGGGGCUGCUUCCUAGUGCCCAG